UUAAGUUCAGCGGGUAUUCCUACCUGAUCCGAGGUCAACCGUACUAUAAAGGAGUUUUACGGCAGGGACGCGCGCGGCACCCGGGGCGAGCGUUAGCAUACUACGCCCGGGACCACAGCGCGCCCGCCGCUGGCCUUGGGAGACUGCGGCGCGCAGGUCUCCAGCACCAGGCCGGGCCUGAGGGUUGGAAAUGACGCUCG
rnacentral:misc_RNA from 1 species